rnacentral:rRNA from 1 species
GCGGCGUGCCUAAUACAUGCAAGUCGAGCGGAUCUUUGGGAGCUUGCUCCCAAAGGUUAGCGGCGGACGGGUGAGUAACACGUGGGCAACCUGCCUGUAAGACUGGGAUAACACCGGGAAACCGGUGCUAAUACCGGAUAAUCCUUUUCCUCUCAUGAGGAGAAGCUGAAAGACGGCGUAAGCUGUCACUUACAGAUGGGCCCGCGGCGCAUUAGCUAGUUGGUGAGGUAACGGCUCACCAAGGCGACGAUGCGUAGCCGACCUGAGAGGGUGAUCGGCCACACUGGGACUGAGACACGGCCCAGACUCCUACGGGAGGCAGCAGUAGGGAAUCUUCCGCAAUGGACGAAAGUCUGACGGAGCAACGCCGCGUGAGCGAAGAAGGCCUUCGGGUCGUAAAGCUCUGUUGUUAGGGAAGAACAAGUAUCGGAGUAACUGCCGGUACCUUGACGGUACCUAACCAGAAAGCCACGGCUAACUACGUGCCAGCAGCCGCGGUAAUACGUAGGUGGCAAGCGUUGUCCGGAAUUAUUGGGCGUAAAGCGCGCGCAGGCGGUCUCUUAAGUCUGAUGUGAAAGCCCACGGCUCAACCGUGGAGGGUCAUUGGAAACUGGGGGACUUGAGUGCAGAAGAGGAAAGCGGAAUUCCACGUGUAGCGGUGAAAUGCGUAGAGAUGUGGAGGAACACCAGUGGCGAAGGCGGCUUUCUGGUCUGUAACUGACGCUGAGGCGCGAAAGCGUGGGGAGCAAACAGGAUUAGAUACCCUGGUAGUCCACGCCGUAAACGAUGAGUGCUAAGUGUUAGGGGGUUUCCGCCCCUUAGUGCUGCAGCUAACGCAUUAAGCACUCCGCCUGGGGAGUACGGCCGCAAGGC